rnacentral:rRNA from 1 species
UACGUAGGGGGCUAGCGUUGCUCGGAAUCACUGGGCGUAAAGCGCGCGUAGGUGGCUUGUUAAGUCAGGGGUGAAAUCCUGGAGCUCAACUCCAGAACUGCGUUUGAUACUGGCGAUCUCGAGUCCGGGAGAGGUGAGUGGAACUGCGAGUGUAGAGGUGAAAUUCGUAGAUAUUCGCAAGAACACCAGUGGCGAAGGCGGCUCACUGGCCCGGUACUGACGCUGAGGUGCGAAAGCGUGGGGAGCAAACAGG